rnacentral:rRNA from 1 species
UACGUAGGGUGCGAGCGUUACUCGGAAUUACUGGGCGUAAAGCGUGCGCAGGCGGUUCGCCGUGUCCGAUGUGAAAGGCCCGGGCUUAACCUGGGAAUGGCAUUGGAAACUGGCGGGCUGGAGUGUGGCAGAGGGGGGUGGAAUUCCACGUGUAGCAGUGAAAUGCGUAGAGAUGUGGAGGAACACCGAUGGCGAAGGCAGCCCCCUGGGCCAACACUGACGCUCAGGCACGAAAGCGUGGGGAGCAAACAGG